rnacentral:rRNA from 1 species
ACAUAACUAUAGGUAGGUAUCCAUAGCGAUUUCUGCUCCAUGUGAAAAUAAAUAGCCGCAGUACCCUGACUGUGCUAAGGUAGCAUAAUCAAUAGGCUUAUAAUUUAAGUCUGGUAUGAAGGAAGAUUUGGGGGUUUCCUGUCUCACCUGAAGUAGAUGGAAUUUUUUUAAAAAGUGCAAAAACUUUUAGAUAAUCAUUAGACGAGAAGACCCUAGAAAUUUUUUAACAUAUUUUGUUGGGGCGACAAAGUAACAAUUAACUUACUUAUAUUUAUCUGAAGUGGAUAUACAGAAUGUAAAAAUUACUCUAGGGAUAACAGCAUAAUUUCUGCGAAGUUUGUGACCUCGAUGUUGGACUAGGUAUUAUUAAGUUUAGAAGAUUUAA